UAUGCAAUAUGGAGUGUUAAAAUGCGUGUAGUACUAGUGGAGCAGAAGGCAGAAGAUCAUUUCUCAAUAGCAUCUAGAAGAAUGAGAGAGAUUUCACCGGGGUUUCAUCUCUGGAUCUGGUUCCUGAAACUUCUUUGAGCUGAAAAUCGGGAUUGUUUGCUGUUUCCUCCCACCCUAACUACCCCUCCACCGUUGACUGUCUCUGGCCAGACAGAGUUUCAGCCUGUAUCGAUAGCACAUCCAUCUGUGAUCUCAAAUGUGGAUCUCAAAAACAACAGCAGCAGCAAAGGGGCCUGGAAAAGCUGGCUACCACAUUCACCUCCCCUCCAAAACGAUGUCCUUUUCUAAAACCAGCUUGCUGAAAGCUCCCCGUGUCAGCUGUUUGAGCCCUGUACAAUCAGCUCUAUACAAUGCAGGGGAGGCAGCAGGCUCUACUGAUUCACUAAACCACUCUGGAAAUUUGUAUAAUGCUGGCUGGCCCCUAACUCACUGGCGUUAGCAUUUUAGCUCAGGCCAUUAACUUUGCUUUUGUAUCUGGAUCUACUUGGAUUCUUGCCUCUUUCCAACCACAUUAAUUAUCUCAGCUUUCAUCAGGACUCUCCUUGGCUUGUUCCCAUUUUUAAUAAAGGC
rnacentral:lncRNA from 1 species